UCAUUGCAGGUUUUAAGCAGAGGAACAACAUUAUCUGACUUAUGUUUCCAAAGCAUUGCUCUUGCUGCUGUGUUGACAGUGAACCAAGAGGGAGCAGUAUAGAAGCGGAGAAACCAGUUAAGAGAUGAUGGCAACAACCCAAUGAGAGGUGACGGUAUCCAGGAAGAGGAGGGUCACAAAUGGCUGUUUAAAUCAAAUACCACUUGAUGAACUCAACCUACAAAUGACAAUGCCAACAGGAUUACAAAAUAAAACUUCACAAACAUUUCUUGAAAGACUACCAAUUCACUCAUACUCUACCAUCUAAGAUGUAACCUUUCCAGGCAUUGGCCAAUUCCAGUGUGAUAAAUAAAAUUAUCUUCAAAAUUGGAGUAUGACGUCAUCACAAACAUGGAAUGAUGGAAACAAAGAUAUAACCAGUGCUCAUUUAUCCAGAAUGACAGGA